ACGUAGGUCCCGAGCGUUGUCCGGAUUUAUUGGGCGUAAAGCGAGCGCAGGCGGUUAGAAAAGUCUGAAGUGAAAGGCAGUGGCUCAACCAUUGUAGGCUUUGGAAACUGUUUAACUUGAGUGCAGAAGGGGAGAGUGGAAUUCCAUGUGUAGCGGUGAAAUGCGUAGAUAUAUGGAGGAACACCGGUGGCGAAAGCGGCUCUCUGGUCUGUAACUGACGCUGAGGCUCGAAAGCGUGGGGAGCAAACAG
rnacentral:rRNA from 1 species